CCAGAACACUAACCCUCAAUUCCUAGGCAACAUCGGUGUCUCCCAUGAGGGCCCUGGGAACGUCGCUGGCUCCGUUUCACUGGAAUAUUGAGGUGGAACAGGUACUGGGCUUUCUCAGGUCCUGUCCUCCAUGUAUGUCACACUGUCACUUCUGUCCUACGACAGGGUGUUCCCCUUCAGGAUUCCAGUCGAAAGAAGAGGGACAUUCUCCUGAUAUGGAACUCACAAAAUUUAUCCAGGACUUUUAGUGCUCCUGAAACUCAUUGGGGCCUUCCACCAAGAGCAAGCUGUGAGAGCCCAGAUCGCACACCACCAUCCAUACAUCUUUUCCUUCUUCUCUCGACCUCUGCACACCUCUUCAGCCGAGACUGGGAUCAGGAAAGGAAUUAUAGGAACCUCCUGAGACGUGAAUGGACACAUGUCACCUGUUGCCUGUGAAACCGGUUCCUCCAACUCUUCCUUUACUCACAUCAGGCUUAAAUAAAUGGACUGUGGAAACAGAACAAAAAUUGGCUUAAAGUUGACCGAGGACUUGGGCAGAAAUGAUGUACAUUACUAGAUAGCAUCACUACGAAAACCUGUGUUGAUGAACCUCACUUUUCACCUGCGGUUGGGAGGGAAGUCCCGCAUCUAAUCUCCAUCCUAUUUCUAUCACAGUGAGAGAUCUCAAAUUCUGUCUUCCACACUAAACUGUAAAGACAAUUGCCUUAGUAUUUGAAACCAACACUGGAACACCGAGGUCCUGUGAUCCAUAGAGAAUGAUAGAAGUGGUCCUGGGCCCAAUACAGGGAUAAUCCUCUGGACUACCCUGGACAUUUCUUCUUACUCUUGCCUCACACUUACUCUUCACUUGAGUUCUCCUAAAUUCAGCCAUCAUGCUAUAAGAAGACCCAGAUGACUCCUCAGUUGAUCCCCAGCUCCUCCUGACAUCAAUGUGAGUGAGCCAUCUUGCAUAUCCAGCCUUGUCCAGCCUUCAGAUGGACACAGCCCCAACCACUUUCAACUGCAACUGAAUGACAGACUUUAAGCAGGAAGCACCUAGUUCACCCAGUUUGCCCACAGAAACAUGAAAGAUGAUCCAUUGUUGUCUUAACACAUUAGAUUUGGCACCAUUUGCAACAUACAAUAAACCAGAACAACCACUGAGAAGGCCUUUUGAGAUUUUUGAACAUCUCCCUAAAUUUGGAUAGGA